GCGGCAACAGCUCAAAUUUGAAAUCUGGCUCUUUCAGGGUCCGAGUUGUAAUUUGUAGAGGAUGUUUCGGGUGUGGCUCCGGUCUAAGUUCCUUGGAACAGGACGUCAUAGAGGGUGAGAAUCCCGUAUGUGACUGGAAGCCUUCGUCCAUGUGAAACUCCUUCGACGAGUCGAGUUGUUUGGGAAUGCAGCUCAAAAUGGGUGGUAAAUUUCAUCUAAAGCUAAAUACUGGCCAGAGACCGAUAGCGCACAAGUAGAGUGAUCGAAAGAUGAAAAGCACUUUGGAAAGAGAGUUAAAAAGUACGUGAAAUUGUUGAAAGGGAAGCGCUUGCAACCAGACUUGCUCGCGGUUGCUCAGCCGGUGUUCUCACCGGUGCACUCUUCCGCGAUCAGGCCAGCAUCGGUUUGGGCGGCUGGAUAAAGGCUCUGGGAAUGUGGCUCCUCUCGGGGAGUGUUAUAGCCCAGGGUGCAAUGCAGCCCGCCCGGAUCGAGGACCGCGCUUCGGCUAGGAUGCUGGCGUAAUGGUUGUAAGCGACCCGUCUUGAAACACGGACCAAGGAGUCUAACAUCUAUGCGAGUGUUUGGGUGUCAAACCCAUGCGCGUAAUGAAAGUGAACGGAGGUGGGAACCCUUAAGGGUGCACCAUCGACCGAUCCUGAUGUCUUCGGAUGGAUUUGAGUAAGAGCAUAGCUGUUGGGACCCGAAAGAUGGUGAACUAUGCCUGAAUAGGGUGAAGCCAGAGGAAACUCUGGUGGAGGCUCGCAGCGGUUCUGACGUGCAAAUCGAUCGUCAAAUUUGGGUAUAGGGGCGAAAGACUAAUCGAACCAUUUUACUACUAGG
rnacentral:rRNA from 1 species